AACGAACGCUGGCGGCAGGCUUAACACAUGCAAGUCGAACGCCCCGCAAGGGGAGUGGCAGACGGGUGAGUAACGCGUGGGAAUCUACCGUACCCUACGGAACAACAGUUGGAAACGACUGCUAAUACCGUAUACGCCCUUAGGGGGAAAGAUUUAUCGGGGUAUGAUGAGCCCGCGUUGGAUUAGCUAGUUGGUGGGGUAAAGGCCUACCAAGGCGACGAUCCAUAGCUGGUCUGAGAGGAUGAUCAGCCACAUUGGGACUGAGACACGGCCCAAACUCCUACGGGAGGCAGCAGUGGGGAAUAUUGGACAAUGGGCGCAAGCCUGAUCCAGCCAUGCCGCGUGAGUGAUGAAGGUCUUAGGAUUGUAAAGCUCUAUCACCGAUGAAGACAAUGACGGUAGUCGGAGAAGAAGCCCCGGCUAACUUCGUGCCAGCCGCCGCCGUAA
rnacentral:rRNA from 1 species